AGUGAACGCUGGCGGUAGGCCUAACACAUGCAAGUCGAACGGCAGCACAGUAAGAGCUUGCUCUUACGGGUGGCGAGUGGCGGACGGGUGAGGAAUACAGCGGAAUCUACUUUUUCGUGGGGGAUAACGUAGGGAAACUUACGCUAAUACCGCAUACGACCUACGGGUGAAAGCAGGGGAUCUUCGGACCUUGCGCGAUUGAGUGAGCCGAUGUCGGAUUAGCUAGUUGGCGGGGUAAAGGCCCACCAAGGCGACGAUCCGUAGCUGGUCUGAGAGGAUGAAGAGCCACACUGGAACUGAGACACGGUCCAGACUCCUACGGGAGGCAGAAGUGGGGAAUAUUGGACAAUGGGCGCAAGCCUGAUCCAGCCAUACCGCGUGGGUGAAGCAGGCCUUCGGGUUGUAAAGCCCUUUUGUUGGGAAGGAAAAGCAGCAGGUUAAUACCCCGCUGUUCUGACGGUACCCAAAGAAUAAGCACCGGCUAACUUCGUG
rnacentral:rRNA from 1 species